rnacentral:rRNA from 1 species
CAAUCAUAAAAGGUGGCUUUUAGCUACCACUUACAGAUGGACCCGCGGCGCAUUAGCUAGUUGGUGAGGUAACGGCUCACCAAGGCGACGAUGCGUAGCCGACCUGAGAGGGUGAUCGGCCACACUGGGACUGAGACACGGCCCAGACUCCUACGGGAGGCAGCAGUAGGGAAUCUUCCGCAAUGGACGAAAGUCUGACGGAGCAACGCCGCGUGAGUGAUGAAGGUUUUCGGAUCGUAAAACUCUGUUGUUAGGGAAGAACAAGUACCGUUCGAAUAGGGCGGCACCUUGACGGUACCUAACCAGAAAGCCACGGCUAACUACGUGCCAGCAGCCGCGGUAAUACGUAGGUGGCAAGCGUUGUCCGGAAUUAUUGGGCGUAAAGCGCGCGCAGGCGGUUUCUUAAGUCUGAUGUGAAAGCCCCCGGCUCAACCGGGGAGGGUCAUUGGAAACUGGGGAACUUGAGUGCAGAAGAGGAGAGUGGAAUUCCACGUGUAGCGGUGAAAUGCGUAGAGAUGUGGAGGAACACCAGUGGCGAAGGCGACUCUCUGGUCUGUAACUGACGCUGAGGCGCGAAAGCGUGGGGAGCGAACAGGAUUAGAUACCCUGGUAGUCCACGCCGUAAACGAUGAGUGCUAAGUGUUAGAGGGUUUCCGCCCUUUAGUGCUGCAGCAAACGCAUUAAGCACUCCGCCUGGGGAGUACGGUCGCAAGACUGAAACUCAAAGGAAUUGACGGGGGCCCGCACAAGCGGUGGAGCAUGUGGUUUAAUUCGAAGCAACGCGAAGAACCUUACCAGGUCUUGACAUCCUCUGACAACCCUAGAGAUAGGGCUUCCCCUUCGGGGGCAGAGUGACAGGUGGUGCAUGGGUUGUCGUCAGCUCGUGUCGUGAGAUGUUGGGUUAAGUCCCGCAACGAGCGCAACCCUUGAUCUUAGUUGCCAGCAUUCAGUUGGGCACUCUAAGGUGACUGCCGGUGACAAACCGGAGGAAGGUGGGGAUGACGUCAAAUCAUCAUGCCCCUUAUGACCUGGGCUACACACGUGCUACAAUGGGCAGAACAAAGGGCAGCGAAGCCGCGAGGCUAAGCCAAUCCCACAAAUCUGUUCUCAGUUCGGAUCGCAGUCUGCAACUCGACUGCGUGAAGCUGGAAUCGCUAG